rnacentral:sRNA from 13 species
CUCCACAUAAAAGGGAAGACACUCCAGCGAGCGAUCAACUCAAAGCCCAGCUUCUCGGCCUGCGCAUUGGGCAGGCGACUCCAAAGAGCCCAAGCCACGGCCACUGGCACUGGCCUGGCACUGGAACGAGACAAAAUGUCAAUGGGAGCGUCUUGUUCCUGGCCUGGCGUCUCACCAGACAACAUGCAAAUAGCAAAUAGCGUAUAGCGCAUAGCUAGAUGCCAAGUUGAAGUCGAGGAGGAAUCCGCAGCCCAAGGGGCCCAUGUGGCUAUGCAAUUUAGUCAAAGGCCCUAACGGCAUUUGAGCCAAAUGCGUUUACGUUUACGCAUCCGCUAUAAACUCGUAUGCCGGGUUGUUGCUGCCCCAGCCACUGCCGAUUCUCCAAGCGGGGAUCUGGGAGCAGGAAUGGCAGUUUAACCAUUUUAUGGAUAUGGCUGGAAAUUCAGAAAGGGGAUUGAUUAAAGGAACAUGGUUGGAAAGUCACCACAACCGAAUAUUGGAUCCUAAACUGAAUUUUUGAACUUUAUCUCUUACUUAUUCAAAAGUUACAAAUCAAGUAAGUAUAAUAACCAAUUAACUCUCGUCUUAUUUGCUUUCCUUUGUUCCAGUGAUCGAAACAGUGAAAUGGAGGCGGUUUUGGCUUUAAUAUCCCUCAGCACUGAGGAAGAGGUGUUGGCAGCGAACCCAGAACCAGUUGGCAGCGUUAUACUUAGGCUUUAAGCAGGAGCAUGCGACAAAACUGUGCUCUGGGCCGGCUGCUCGGUGGCUGGGUCUGGGUCUGGGGAUCCACUUCCUUCGGAGCUGGGAACUGUUAAUUGGACCCAGCCAGCCCGUCCGCUUCCAGGGGCGUCGGAGUUUGGCAGUGCGUGGCGCACUUAAACGAGGUUAACUGUACUGCAGCAAAGGCAUCGCUCGUCUCUGGGCCGCGGCGCGAAUGUAAUUUCAACUUACGUCAACGCCAGCGCUCCAGGGCCACAGAUCCGAUGGGAGAUCCCAGAUCCGAGCGGUCAAUGCACGCAUUACCUACCAGUUACCAGUUGCCAGAUGCCCAGUUUCCAGCUCCCCACCGCCAGCUUAUCGGGCGGGAAUCGCGCAGCCCCGGCACUUUAGCUCCCAGCUCCCAAACCCCCUCUGCUGCCGCCUGCUCAAAAAAUCCCAUCAAAUCAGCAACGUGAUGCCGCCCUUGGGGCUCUGGGCCUGCACUCUCUCUAUAAAGCGGUCAUAACAUUUGCACCACAAUAAUAGCUGUAAUGCCAACCCAACGCCGCCUAGCCCCCAUUCAUUCAAGGAUAAUGUUACGGUUAAUGGCGCGUCCGCCGAGUAAUUUAAUUUACUCGUACACUCGCCACAUGCCCCCAACAAACGAACAAGGCGAAUUAUUAUGGCCGAAAAUCGCGACUAGACGGCCGCGCAGACGGUGGCCACAUGGAGCCCCAGAUGGGGCCGCAGAUGCAGAUACAGAUGGAGAUGGAGCUGAAGUUGGAGCUGGAGCUGGAGAUACCUCAUAUCGCGCCCAUCGGCGAUCGUCAGUCGCCCAGACUUUGGAGAUGAGACAGUGAGGACUGGCAGUCGGCCAAGUUGGCCCGAGCAAAUUGCCGGCAUCUAUUGCUAUAAUUUCCCAGAAACUUUGUAGCGAUGGAAAAUCUAGGCGGAAAUUCGGGAAUUUGGCGAGUUAAUGCGAUCAAAGAUAUAAACACUGAUUGAUAUUGAGUUACAUUUCCGAGGCGUAAUGAAGGGUUAUAUCUUCCCGGACUAUGACUUCGUUGAAAAAUGAAUUCCGAUUGGAAAAUAAAACAUUGUUUGAGAAGAUUCCAUAAUGGUCUAAAAUAUAAACUUUAUUAGUUGGUAUCAAAACGUAUCCUCAGAUCAAAUUUGAUUUU